rnacentral:pre_miRNA from 14 species
CCACACAAACCUCUCUAGAACCGAAUUUGUCGCUUGUUUAAAUUCAAACAAAUUCGGAUCUACAGGGUAGAUGUAGA